rnacentral:rRNA from 1 species
UAAUACAUGCAAGUUAGAACGCUGAAGACUUUAGCUUGCUAAAGUUGGAAGAGUUGCGAACGGGUGAGUAACGCGUAGGUAACCUGCCUACUAGCGGGGGAUAACUAUUGGAAACGAUAGCUAAUACCGCAUAACAGCAUUUAACACAUGUUAGAUGCUUGAAAGGAGCAAUUGCUUCACUAGUAGAUGGACCUGCGUUGUAUUAGCUAGUUGGUGAGGUAACGGCUCACCAAGGCGACGAUGCAUAGCCGACCUGAGAGGGUGAUCGGCCACACUGGGACUGAGACACGGCCCAGACUCCUACGGGAGGCAGCAGUAGGGAAUUUUCGGCAAUGGGGGCAACCCUGACCGAGCAACGCCGCGUGAGUGAAGAAGGUUUUCGGAUNCGUAAAGCUCUGUUGUAAGAGAAGAACGUGUGUGAGAGUGGAAAGUUCACACAGUGACGGUAACUUACCAGAAAGGGACGGCUAAUUACGUG